AAUAUUUUGCACCAAUUUACUGUUCUGUCAAACAUGUAUUUUCAACUCUGUCUCAGAACUUCCUGAUUCAACAGGCACACAGCAUUACUUCACAGAUUAUUAGAUAACCUUCAUACAAGAUGAGUUUGUUGUUGUUUUUAUCCAUUCUUCUCUGACAGGGUUUUGCAUACAUAUAAAUAUAAACAUAAACAAAAAGAGUCUUUGGUUAACAGAUGGCCCAAAGUCUAGUGAGACUGGUGUUGGGAGUGUGGGAUGUAUAGGUAUCACGUGUGCUUAGUUUUCCAGGGUGAAUAAGAAUGGUUGCAUUAAGCACACUGUAACCAUAUUAUUUCAAGGGGUGAGCACUACAGAAUUACAAUUUGAUUUAAAGCCAGCUGUCUGACUGAAUGUCCAGGUGUUACUGCAGGAUCAGAGGAUGCCAAUGCAUUUCUGGAACAUGUGUGAAGUCCUUCACUUAGCCACUCCAUCCCACCUCUUAGAAUCCAGGCUGUAGCUCACUGUACUGCAGUUCAGGCUCUUCACAGGUCUGGCAGAGGAAGACCUGAGAGUGAUGUAUUGGUGGCUCUCAGCUGAGCCACAAUCUUACUCAUGUUAAGCACAUUUUGAGGAUGUGGUGAAACUCAAGUCAAUGCAAUGUAAUCACAGGAUUCUUACAUUUAUCUACCAGCUGCAACUUCUAUAAAUUAGUAUAUAGUAAUCUCUUUUGAUGAUACAUGUCCAGGUUAAGGUUCUGCCUUCUGCAACUACCUGCAGCAGAUAUUUAGAACAAAAAUAUGGCCAUUCAUUAUUAUUGUUUAUUUAUACUUUUAUGGUACUACUGAAAGGUCCUACAGCUGGUUUCUCUGUAGAUGGCAAUACUAUCUUCUAAUCUGUACUCCUAGACAAGAGGAAAAAGAAACAGAGUUUAAAUAUUGUGUUAAAAAGGAUUUUAUCAUGUUAUAGCUUGUGUCCUGCUGUCAACUGGCCCUGGUCAUAUUUUGAUUUGCUAUUUUAGUAAAGGUUAAAUGUAAUUUGUCAUUGUUUGCUACAAGGGCAUGCAGGUAUGAGAGGCUGAAGUACUGCUUAGAGCACCUAAGAUUCAGAAAUGUCAUCUGCUCUUAAUGAUGACAGCACUUUUGCUUUUUUCUGGAAGUAGAAAGGAAGCAAGAAGUUCCUGAUAUGUUCUCCUUGCAGUAAUACAGAGAAAAAUCUGGAUGUAAACAAAAAUCCUUUUUUUUCUUUUGAGAUUAGAAGCAAUUAUUAAAUCUGCUGAAUAUGGGUGAGAUUGAUAUGCUUGUAAAAGUACCAAUGAAAUAAUGCCCGUGAUAAGUUAUCCACUGCAUAAUACACUAAUUGAAGCAGAACUUUUUUUUUUUAGCCUAGAGAUUUUCUACCAUUGUGCAAGCUAUGCAAAUGAAUGGUCAAAAUACACAAAUGAAAAGAAAGAUAUUCUAAUUUGAAGUCCUGCAGGACACUUUGUAACCUUGAGCAAAUGUGUAGCAAGUCUUACUCUUUUUAGAAUCAUUAAAAAAUAAAAAGUGUACUACUCGCAUGUGCUUAAGAUACCAAGAGAGCAAAGCUUUGAGAUAAAGUAUUCUUUUAGAAAGACUUGUAGUUUGGCCAAUGUGUGACUUACUUAAUAGUAGGUAGAAGAAAAUUUCUCAGGAGGCUCACAUUGGGCACAGCAUGAAGUGUAAUACAGAGCUGAGCUGUACACCAGCGAAGAGAUUCAGCUUCUGUAUGGCUUUCAUCUUUAUCAAGACACUGAGAUGCAAUAACCUUCAGCGAGAAAGCUACCUACCAGCAAAGAAAGUACAGUCCUCGUCUGGUGCUGUUUAAACCAAGUCAGGAAGCUUUAAACUCACUGCCUGAAGAUUAUUUGUUAUCCACUUCUCCAUGACAGUUCUGACCAAUUCAUGCUGAUUUUGAGGAACUCUUGCAGCAUGAGUAUGUAGUCUGCCUACCACAGCAUCUUCCAUUUGUCUCUGAAAUGUGGAGUAAGAGUAGUUUGUUUUUGUGUUUUCAGGUGCUGGGAUGAUUGUAAAGCAAUAAAUUAUCCCUCUAAGCUCUACUCUGAAGCAAGGCAAAUAAAUAUAUUUCAAUAUA